AAUGAACGCUGGCGGCAGGCCUAACACAUGCAAGUCGAACGGAUCCUUCGGGAUUAGUGGCGGACGGGUGAGUAACGCGUGGGAACAUACCCGAAGGUACGGAAUAGCCUCGGGAAACUGGGAGUAAUACCGUAUGUGCUCGAAAGAGGAAAGAUUUAUCGCCUUUGGAUUGGCCCGCGUUGAAUUAGGUAGUUGGUGGGGUAAUGGCCUACCAAGCCGACGAUCCAUAGCUGGUUUGAGAGGAUGAUCAGCCACACUGGGACUGAGACACGGCCCAGACUCCUACGGGAGGCAGCAGUGGGGAAUCUUAGACAAUGGGGGAAACCCUGAUCUAGCCAUGCCGCGUGAUCGAUGAAGGCCUUAGGGUUGUAAAGAUCUUUCAGGUGGGAAGAUAAUGACUGUACCACCAGAAGAAGCCCCGGCUAACUCCGUGCCAGCAGCCGCCGUAA
rnacentral:rRNA from 1 species